UACGGGGGGUGCAAGCGUUGCUCGGAAUCACUGGGCGUAAAGCGUCCGCAGGCGGCUUGAUAAGUCGGGGGUGAAAGCCCGGGGCUCAACCCCGGAACUGCAUUCGAAACUGUCUGGCUUGAGUACGGGAGAGGGUCGUGGAAUUCCUGGUGUAGAGGUGAAAUUCGUAGAUAUCAGGAGGAACACCGGUGGCGAAAGCGGCGACCUGGCCCGAUACUGACGCUCAUGGACGAAAGCGUGGGGAGCAAACAGG
rnacentral:rRNA from 1 species